rnacentral:rRNA from 1 species
GAUGAACGCUGGCGGCGUGCCUAAUACAUGCAAGUCGAGCGAACGGACGAGAAGCUUGCUUUUCUGAUGUUAGCGGCGGACGGGUGAGUAACACGUGGAUAACCUACCUAUAAGACUGGGAUAACUUCGGGAAACCGGAGCUAAUACCGGAUAAUAUUUUGAACCGCAUGGUUCAAAAGUGAAAGACGGUCUUGCUGUCACUUAUAGAUGGAUCCGCGCUGCAUUAGCUAGUUGGUAAGGUAACGGCUUACCAAGGCAACGAUGCAUAGCCGACCUGAGAGGGUGAUCGGCCACACUGGAACUGAGACACGGUCCAGACUCCUACGGGAGGCAGCAGUAGGGAAUCUUCCGCAAUGGGCGAAAGCCUGACGGAGCAACGCCGCGUGAGUGAUGAAGGUCUUCCGAUCGUAAAACUCUGUUAUUAGGGAAGAACAUAUGUGUAAGUAACUGUGCACAUCUUGACGGUACCUAAUCAGAAAGCCACGGCUAACUACGUG